UACGUAGGGAGCGAGCGUUGUCCGGAUUUACUGGGUGUAAAGGGUGCGUAGGCGGCCCUGCAAGUCAGAAGUGAAAUCCAUGGGCUUAACCCAUGAACUGCUUUUGAAACUGUAGGGCUUGAGUGAAGUAGAGGUAGGCGGAAUUCCCGGUGUAGCGGUGAAAUGCGUAGAGAUCGGGAGGAACACCAGUGGCGAAGGCGGCCUACUGGGCUUUAACUGACGCUGAAGCACGAAAGCGUGGGUAGCAAACAGG
rnacentral:rRNA from 1 species